GCGAGAAAACUUUGCAAUGUGCGAAAGCACGACAAGGUUAAUCCGAGUGGUUUCUGCUAAAGAAACCUUUUGUCAGUCCUAGAAACACUAACGAAUAAGGGGUGGGCAAGUUCUGGUGUCAGCCGCCGCGGUAAAACCAGCACCUCAAGUGGUCAGGAUGAUUAUUGGGCCUAAAGCAUCCGUAGCUCGUUUUGUAAGUUUUCGGUUAAAUCCAUGCGCUUAACGUAUGGGCUGCCGGGAAUACUGCAUAACUAGGAAGUGGGAGAGGUAGACGGUACUCGGUAGGAAGGGGUAAAAUCCUUUGAUCUAUUGAUGACCACCUGUGGCGAAGGCGGUCUACCAGAACACGUUCGACGGUGAGGGAUGAAAGCUGGGGGAGCAAACCGGAUUAGAUACCCGAGUAGUCCCUGAGCGGGCUGGCAAGGCGCAU
rnacentral:rRNA from 1 species